GAUGAACGCUGGCGGCGUGCUUAACACAUGCAAGUCGAACGAAGCACUUUAUUAUGAUUUCUUCGGAAUGACGAUUUAGUGACUGAGUGGCGGACGGGUGAGUAACGCGUGGGUAACCUGCCUUAUACAGGGGGAUAACAGUUAGAAAUGACUGCUAAUACCGCAUAAGCGCACAGGAUUGCAUGAUCUAGUGUGAAAAACUCCGGUGGUAUAAGAUGGACCCGCGUCUGAUUAGCUGGUUGGUGAGGUAACGGCCCACCAAGGCGACGAUCAGUAGCCGACCUGAGAGGGUGACCGGCCACAUUGGGACUGAGACACGGCCCAAAACUCCUACGGGGAGGCAGCAGUGGGGAAUAUUGCACAAUGGGGGAAACCCUGAUGCAGCGACGCCGCGUGAGCGAAGAAGUAUUUCGGUAUGUAAAGCUCUAUCAGCAGGAGAAAAAAUGACGGUACCUGACUAAGAAGCCCCGGCUAACUACGUGCCAGCAGCCG
rnacentral:rRNA from 1 species